rnacentral:rRNA from 1 species
AUGAGGAAGGUGUGCCCCAACCUAGACCGGGAGGACGGCCUCGACACCGUGCUGGAGGUGCCGGUCCCCGAGCUCCACCAGGAGGUGCCGGCCCGCCGGCGCCGCACGGUCAACCUGAAGGCGUGGAUGCGGACGCACAUGCACAUCGAUCACCAGCAUAUGCAUCGCCGUGACGGCGUGCAGGUCAUGCUCGGCGUGAUGGGCGCGCCGCUGGUGCCUCAGCCCGUGCAGCCCAGGAGGCCCAUGGGCGGACGUGACAGCAAGGAGGAGCCCCUCGAGCUAUCCAAGGCGAGGUAUAUAGUGGAGCAGUACGUGGCGGCUGCCGGCGGCGAGGCGGCGCUGAGCGCGGCGACUAGCAUGUUCGCCAUGGGGAAGGUGCGGAUGAGCAGCACUACAUCCAAGAGCAGCAAGGCAACAAAGAAGGGAAUGGGAGAGGUGCACGGAGGAUUUGUGGUGUGGCAGAAGAAGCCGGAGCUCUGGUGCGUGGAGAUGGUCGUGGCCGGUGGCACCAAGAUGAGCGCCGGCAGCGACGGCAAGGUUGCCUGGCGCCAGACGCCGUGGCAGCAGCAGGCCCACGCCUCCCGGGGGCCGCCGCGACCGAUCCGCAGAUGCGUUCAGGGUUUGGACCCAAAAUCCACGGCGGACCUCUUCUCCAGCGCCGCGUCUGUCGGCGAGGAAGCAGUCGACGGCGAGGACUGCUUCGUGCUCCGCGUCGACGCGGAACCCUCCGCUCUGCACGCCCGCAGCGGCGCCGACGUGGAGGUGAUCCGGCACGCGCUAUGGGGAUACUUCAGCCAGAGGACGGGGCUGCUCGUCCGUCUCGAGGAUAGCCACCUGCUGCGCAUCCCCAGGCCGGCGGACGCAGCUUACGCGAGCAUGUACUGGGAGACCACCAUGGCGUCCACCAUCGGCGACUACCGCCCCGUCGACGGCAUCAACAUCGCGCACGCCGGCCGCACCGUCGUCUCGGUGUCCCCCUUCACGAGGGCCGCCGGAGCAGUAGACGACGCCGACGCGCGCAGGAAGAGACCGUGCACGUGCAUGGAGGAGACGUGGAGCAUCGAGGAGUUGGAGUUCAACAUUGCGGGGCUGUCCACCGAGUGCUUCUUGCCUCCCAGGGACCUUGUGUUCAGCGACUCCAAAGACCAGCCGCGGCACAACAAGGAGCAAGGCGAUAAGGCGGCAAAGGGUGCUCGGGACGGCGACGGUGGCUGCGGGAUCCGCGUUGCUGUGCCAAAGAAGGCACUUGUUCCGGUUGUGACUGGACUAGGUUGGUUUGGUCCGGCCAAGGUUGCCGCGGUUGACAGCUUAGACGCUGCCGACGAGUCCAAAGACACCACGUACGCAUCCACAAGAUGA